rnacentral:rRNA from 1 species
UACGAAGGGGGCUAGCGUUGCUCGGAAUCACUGGGCGUAAAGCGCACGUAGGCGGCUUCUUAAGUCAGGGGUGAAAUCCUGGAGCUCAACUCCAGAACUGCCUUUGAUACUGAGGAGCUUGAGUCCGGGAGAGGUGAGUGGAACUGCGAGUGUAGAGGUGAAAUUCGUAGAUAUUCGCAAGAACACCAGUGGCGAAGGCGGCUCACUGGCCCGGUACUGACGCUGAGGAGCGAAAGCAUGGGGAGCGAACAGG